UACGUAGGGUGCGAGCGUUGUCCGGAAUCAUUGGGCGUAAAGCGCGUGUAGGCGGCCCGGUAAGUCCGCUGUGAAAGUCCAGGGCUCAACCCUGGGAUGCCGGUGGAUACUGUCGGGCUCGAGUCCGGAAGAGGCGAGUGGAAUUCCUGGUGUAGCGGUGGAAUGCGUAGAGAUCCGGAAGAACACCGGUGGCGAAGGCGGCCUGCUGGGCAGUUGCUGACACUGAGGCGCGACAGCGUGGGGAGCAAACAGG
rnacentral:rRNA from 1 species